UUUUAGGCAGUUUGCGCCAUCUGGUCCUCCCAGUUGGGAACUGUGUACAGUAAGGAUAAGCAGCGGAAGGUUUACGGAUUUAAAAAUGCGCCACAACCACGCCUUUUCAAAGGGAAGAACUGAUCCACUUCUUAACAUGUUUAAAUUUGAUUUCUUGAAAUUUGCAUUGGCACCUUUACUCAAAUUUUAAUUUCCUGUUUCCUCAGGAUUUUCCGGAGCAGUCAGUCAGAUACGCGCCUUUGCUCCUUAUCUCUUGACUAUAAGAUCGAUCAAUUGCAAGAAACAAGCCAGAGAAAUUUAGCGGAUUGAGCAGCAUCUAAGGAGGGAGAGGGAUUUUUUUGAUAUUUUGACUGGGUUGACAUGGAGUUUCUCCAGCGGAUUAUUUGUUGCUCUAGAUUCCAGCAUUUGCUGUUUUCUUGUGUUUCAAUCAACUGUAGUUCAGAAAUUUUUAACUAAAGCAGCAUUUGCGAAGACAGCACUAAAGUGUGAAGAAAUAUUUUCGGAUUACACUCCUGGUUAGCCCAGAUGUUGAAAUAAUGCCCUAUUUUAUUUUGGGCUUCUGUCACCACAGAAUAUACUGUAGUUCCUCUAUAUUUUCCCUAGUGAAUUAUUUCAUUGUUUCAAACACUGCUAUUAACAGAUUGCUGACCUGUUUAAACUCUCUGCAAUUGGAGGUAUCUGAUAUGGGCAAUACAGGAUGUCCAGAGGCUGGAGAUCUGACCUCAUGUUCCUUGCAACUGUCAAAAAGAUGGGUUUAUAGCAGACACACUCUCACAGGCUCGCUACUCAGCUUUGGAGCAAUUAGACGACUGCAAAACAUAUGUUAGGCCACUGUUUAUGAUUACAGCUCAGCGUUUAACACCAUCAUUCCCUCGGAACUAAUAACCAAGCUUGAAAAUCUGAGCUUCUGUAAUUAGAUCCUUGACUUCCUUACACUCAAUGAAAAUGGGCAGUAGCAUCUCAUCAUUGACUAUCAACACAGGGAUGUGUGCUUAGCAAACUGCUCUACAUUAGUGACUGGCAAAGCACAGCUCAAAGGCUUUCUGUAAAUUCACUGAUUACACCACUGUUUGUAGAAUCUCAAAUAUCUACGAGGAGGCUUACAGGAGCGAGAUAGAUCAGCUGGAUGAGUGGUGUCACAGCCACAACCCAACUGAUCGUGGACUUCAGAAAGGGAAAGUUGAGAGAACACACACCAGUUCUCAUUGAGAUGUGAGUGGUGGAAAAGGCUCCUGUACCUCCUUCCUGAUGGUAACAAUGAGAAGAGGACAGGACUCCUUACAAAAUGCAGCCGCUGUCUUGCCUUCUUUAUGGUUGCAUCGAUGUGACUGUGUUGGAGGGGUCUUUGAUUAUGUUGACUGCUUUUCUAAGGCCGAGAGAAGUGUAAACUGAGUCAAUGGAGGGGAAGCUACUCUGACCAAGGUGCUCAAACCAUAGCUAGUGCGAUGUCACAGAAAUCAGUGCUGGGACCUUAGCCGUCACAUUGUUUUGAUGUCACCCUAUUGCUGUUAUGUAAGUUGCAUAAAGAGUGAAUACUUCAUUAAUAAGGUUUACAGAGCAGUGCUGUUGGGUUUUCCUGAGUAAUGUUGGACUGACACUGGCGGCUCUAAUGAGCAUUCCAUAUUGGUGCCUUGGCUUGCUCCUGCAAGUGCCACCAAUAAACUCUAUAGAUGCAACCUUUGCAACUUUAACGGUGACAAAACACAAUGCAAGCAACUCUCUUCCAGUCAUUGGGGAGUGUCACAAUGGAAUAAAUGGUGCCCUAGAUAGGCUGGUGAUGAGCAGUGUGCCCAGGAGGCAUUAUUUUUAUGAAAGGGCCAAACAGACCCAAGAGGGUUCAGCCUGACACAAGACUGUGGGGAAGGGUUGCAUAAGGACACGAGUGCCUGCACUUUGACCAUGCUGAA